rnacentral:rRNA from 1 species
AGAGUUUGAUCCUGGCUCAGGACGAACGCUGACGGUGUGCUUUAGACAUGCAGGUCGAACGCGAAAGCCCUUCGGGGUGAGUNGAGUGGCGAACGGGUGAGUAACACGUGGGUAAUCUGCCCCUCGCAGGGGGACAACCGGGGGAAACCCCGGCUAAUACCCCGUACGCUCCGAGGUCUGCAUGGUCCACGGAGGAAAGGUAGCUUCGGCCAUCCGGCGAGGGAUGAGCCCGCGGUGCAUUAGCUAGUUGGUGGGGUAACGGCUCACCAAGGCGACGAUGGGGUAGCUGGUCUGAGAGGAUGAUCAGCCACACUGGGACUGAGACACGGCCCAGACUCCUACGGGAGGCAGCAGUCGGGAAUCUUGCGCAAUGGGCGAAAGCCUGACGCAGCAACACCGUGUGAGCGACGAAGGCCUUCGGGGUCGUAAAGCUCUGUUGUUGGGGACGAAGGGCGAAGGGUUAAUAGCCCCUAGCCUGACGGUACCCUUCGAGGAAGCCCCGGCUAACUACGUGCCAGCAGCCGCGGUAAUACGUAGGGGGCGAGCGUUGUCCGGAAUUAUUGGGCGUAAAGAGCGUGUAGGCGGUUCGGUAAGUCUUGCCGUGAAAACCUUGGGGCUUCAACCCCGGGCGUGCGGUGGAUACUGCCGGGCUUAAGGAUUGGUUAAAGGCGAGUGGAAUUCCCGGUGUACGGUGAAAAUGGCGCANAAUUUUCGGGAGGAACACCCAGUAAGCGAAGGCNGUCUCCUGGGCCAUUCCCGACCUUGAAACCGCGAAAAGCUAGGGGAGCGGAACCAGGAAUUAGAUAACCCUGUUAGUCCUAGCCGUAAACGAUGAACACUAGGUUGUUGGGGGGAGUCGAUCCCUCCGUUGCCGCAGCCAACGCGUUAAGUGUUCCGCCUGGGAGUACGGCCGCAAGGCUAAAACUCAAAAGAAUUUGACCGGGGGCCCGCACAAGCAAGCGGAGCAUGUUCUUUAAUUCGAUGCAACGCGAAGAACCUUACCUGGGCUUGACAUGGUGCUGCAAGCGCACGGAAACGUGUGACCUUCGAGGGUGCACCACAGAUGCUGCAUGGCUGUCGUCAGCUCGUGUCGUGAGAUGUUGGGUUAAGUCCCGCAACGAGCGCAACCCCCGUGGCGUGUUGCCAGCAUUAAGUUGGGGACUCACGCCAGACUGCCGGUGACAAACCGGAGGAAGGUGGGGAUGACGUCAAGUCAUCAUGGCUCUUACGUCCAGGGCUAGAAACGUGCUACAAUGGCGCAUACAAUGGGUUGCAAGACCGCGAGGUGGAGCGAAUCUCAUCAAAAGUGCGUCCAAGUUCGGAUCGGAGUCUGCAACUCGACUCCGUGAAGGCGGAGUUGCUAGUAAUCGCGGAUCAGAAUGCCGCGGUGAAUACGUUCCCGGGCCUUGUACACACCGCCCGUCACACCACGGGAGUAGGCAAUACCCGAAGCAGGCGCGGCUAACCCCUUUUAGGGGAGGCGGUCUGCGAAGGUAGGGCUUGCGACUGGGGUGAAGUCGUACAAGGUAGCCGUACCUGAGAGGUGCGGCUGGAUCACCUCCUUA